rnacentral:rRNA from 1 species
CCCUUAGAUGUUCUGGGCCGCACGCGCGCUACACUGAUGCAUUCAACGAGUCUAAAACCUGCUCUGAUAGGGGUGGGUAAUCUUUUGAAUGUGCAUCGUGAUUGGGAUAGAUGAUUGCAAUUUUUCAUCUUCAACGAGGAAUGCCUAGUAAACGCAAGUCAUCAGCUUGCAUUGAUUACGUCCCUGCCCUUUGUACACACCGCCCGUCGCUCCUACCGAUUGAAUGAUCCGAUGAAGAUCAUGGAUUGAGGAUUAUAGCAGGUUCGCCUGUCUUGAUCUUCGAGAAGUGAAGUAAAUCUUAUCAUUUAGAGGAAGGAGAAGUCGUAACA